rnacentral:rRNA from 1 species
AGCCUACGGGAGGCAGCAGUGAGGAAUAUUGGUCAAUGGACGAGAGUCUGAACCAGCCAAGUAGCGUGAAGGAUGACUGCCCUUUGGGUUGUAAACUGCUUUUAAAUGGGAAUAAAAUGUUCCACGUGUGGGAUUUUGUAUGUACCAUAUGAAUAAGGAUCGGCUAACUCCGUGCCAGCAGCCGCGGUAAUACGGAGGAUCCGAGCGUUAUCCGGAUUUAUUGGGUUUAAAGGGCGCGUAGGUGGAUUGUUAAGUCAGUUGUGUAUGUUUGCGGCUCACCCGUAAAAUGGCAGUUGAAACUGGCA